rnacentral:antisense_RNA from 1 species
CUUGAUGGAACCGAGCCACAGCGGCUCCCGGCCCUGCCGAUCCUGCCCGUAGGUGGCCAACACCGCCUGCGCCUC